GUGCCAGCAGCCGCGGUAAUACCGGCAGCUCGAGUGAUGUCCAAUAUUAUUGGGCCUAAAGCGUCCGUAGCUGGCCAGCCAAGUUCGUCGGGAAAUCCACCUGCCCAACAGGUGGGCGUCCGGCGAAAACUGUCUGGCUUGGAACCGGAAGGCUCAGAGGGUACGUCCGGGGUAGGAGUGAAAUCCUGUAAUCCCGGACGGACCACCGAUGGCGAAAGCACUCUGAGAAGACGGAUUCGACAGUGAGGGACGAAAGCUAGGGUCUCGAACCGGAUUAGAAACCCUAGUAGUCC
rnacentral:rRNA from 1 species